UCUCUGGUAGUAUAUCGGUUAGUACACGCGCCUGUCACGUCUGUACCGCGCGAAAGCUGGGUUCGACUCCCAGCCAGAGAG